rnacentral:rRNA from 1 species
UGCGAAGGGUGCAAGCGUUACUCGGAAUUACUGGGCGUAAAGGGUGCGUAGGUGGUUUUUUAAGUCCGUUGUGAAAUCCCUGGGCUCAACCUGGGAAUGGCAGUGGAUACUGGAAAGCUAGAGUGCGGUAGAGGGUAGUGGAAUUCCCGGUGUAGCAGUGAAAUGCGUAGAGAUCGGGAGGAACACCAGUGGCGAAGGCGGCUACCUGGACCAGCACUGACACUGAGGCACGAAAGCGUGGGGAGCAAACAGG